rnacentral:rRNA from 2 species
GUUAUAUGGUCAAGUGAAGAAGCGCAUACGGUGGAUGCCUUGGCAGUCAGAGGCGAUGAAAGACGUGGUAGCCUGCGAAAAGCUUCGGGGAGUCGGCAAACAGACUUUGAUCCGGAGAUGUCUGAAUGGGGGAACCCAGCCAUCAUAAGAUGGUUAUCUUACGCUGAAUACAUAGGCGUAAGAGGCGAACCAGGGGAACUGAAACAUCUAAGUACCCUGAGGAAAAGAAAUCAACCGAGAUUCCCUUAGUAGUGGCGAGCGAACGGGGACUAGCCCUUAAGUGGCUUUGAGAUUAGCGGAACGCUCUGGAAAGUGCGGCCAUAGUGGGUGAUAGCCCUGUACGCGAAAAUCUCUUAGUCAUGAAAUCGAGUAGGACGGAGCACGAGAAACUUUGUCUGAAUAUGGGGGGACCAUCCUCCAAGGCUAAAUACUACUGACUGACCGAUAGUGAACUAGUACCGUGAGGGAAAGGCGAAAAGAACCCCGGAGAGGGGAGUGAAAUAGAUCCUGAAACCGUAUGCGUACAAGCAGUGGGAGCCCACUUUGUUGGGUGACUGCGUACCUUUUGUAUAAUGGGUCAGCGACUUAUUUUCAGUGGCGAGCUUAACCGAAUAGGGGAGGCGUAGCGAAAGCGAGUCUUAAUAGGGCGUCUAGUCGCUGGGAAUAGACCCGAAACCGGGCGAUCUAUCCAUGGGCAGGUUGAAGGUUGGGUAACACUAACUGGAGGACCGAACCGACUACCGUUGAAAAGUUAGCGGAUGACCUGUGGAUCGGAGUGAAAGGCUAAUCAAGCUCGGAGAUAGCUGGUUCUCCUCGAAAGCUAUUUAGGUAGCGCCUCAUGUAUCACUGUAGGGGGUAGAGCACUGUUUCGGCUAGGGGGUCAUCCCGACUUACCAAACCGAUGCAAACUCCGAAUACCUACAAGUGCCGAGCAUGGGAGACACACGGCGGGUGCUAACGUCCGUCGUGAAAAGGGAAACAACCCAGACCGUCAGCUAAGGUCCCAAAGUUAUGGUUAAGUGGGAAACGAUGUGGGAAGGCUUAGACAGCUAGGAGGUUGGCUUAGAAGCAGCCACCCUUUAAAGAAAGCGUAAUAGCUCACUAGUCGAGUCGGCCUGCGCGGAAGAUGUAACGGGGCUCAAACCAUACACCGAAGCUACGGGUAUCACGUAAGUGAUGCGGUAGAGGAGCGUUCUGUAAGCCUGUGAAGGUGAGUUGAGAAGCUUGCUGGAGGUAUCAGAAGUGCGAAUGCUGACAUGAGUAACGACAAUGGGUGUGAAAAACACCCACGCCGAAAGACCAAGGUUUCCUGCGCAACGUUAAUCGACGCAGGGUUAGUCGGUCCCUAAGGCGAGGCUGAAAAGCGUAGUCGAUGGAAAACAGGUUAAUAUUCCUGUACUUCUGGUUAUUGCGAUGGAGGGACGGAGAAGGCUAGGCCAGCUUGGCGUUGGUUGUCCAAGUUUAAGGUGGUAGGCUGGAAUCUUAGGUAAAUCCGGGAUUCUAAGGCCGAGAGCUGAUGACGAGCUAACUUUUAGUUAGCGAAGUGGUUGAUGCCAUGCUUCCAAGAAAAGCUUCUAAGCUUCAGGUAACCAGGAACCGUACCCCAAACCGACACAGGUGGUUGGGUAGAGAAUACCAAGGCGCUUGAGAGAACUCGGGUGAAGGAACUAGGCAAAAUGGCACCGUAACUUCGGGAGAAGGUGCGCCGGUGAGGGUGAAGGACUUGCUCCGUAAGCUCAUGCCGGUCGAAGAUACCAGGCCGCUGCGACUGUUUAUUAAAAACACAGCACUCUGCAAACACGAAAGUGGACGUAUAGGGUGUGACGCCUGCCCGGUGCCGGAAGGUUAAUUGAUGGGGUUAGCUAACGCGAAGCUCUUGAUCGAAGCCCCGGUAAACGGCGGCCGUAACUAUAACGGUCCUAAGGUAGCGAAAUUCCUUGUCGGGUAAGUUCCGACCUGCACGAAUGGCGUAACGAUGGCGGCGCUGUCUCCACCCGAGACUCAGUGAAAUUGAAAUCGCUGUGAAGAUGCAGUGUAUCCGCGGCUAGACGGAAAGACCCCGUGAACCUUUACUAUAGCUUUGCACUGGACUUUGAAUUUGCUUGUGUAGGAUAGGUGGGAGGCUUUGAAGCGUGGACGCCAGUCUGCGUGGAGCCAACCUUGAAAUACCACCCUGGCAACUUUGAGGUUCUAACUCAGGUCCGUUAUCCGGAUCGAGGACAGUGUAUGGUGGGUAGUUUGACUGGGGCGGUCUCCUCCUAAAGAGUAACGGAGGAGUACGAAGGUGCGCUCAGACCGGUCGGAAAUCGGUCGUAGAGUAUAAAGGCAAAAGCGCGCUUGACUGCGAGACAGACACGUCGAGCAGGUACGAAAGUAGGUCUUAGUGAUCCGGUGGUUCUGUAUGGAAGGGCCAUCGCUCAACGGAUAAAAGGUACUCCGGGGAUAACAGGCUGAUACCGCCCAAGAGUUCAUAUCGACGGCGGUGUUUGGCACCUCGAUGUCGGCUCAUCACAUCCUGGGGCUGAAGCCGGUCCCAAGGGUAUGGCUGUUCGCCAUUUAAAGUGGUACGCGAGCUGGGUUUAGAACGUCGUGAGACAGUUCGGUCCCUAUCUGCCGUGGACGUUUGAGAUUUGAGAGGGGCUGCUCCUAGUACGAGAGGACCGGAGUGGACGAACCUCUGGUGUUCCGGUUGUCACGCCAGUGGCAUUGCCGGGUAGCUAUGUUCGGAAUAGAUAACCGCUGAAAGCAUCUAAGCGGGAAACUAGCCUCAAGAUGAGAUCUCACUGGAACCUUGAGUUCCCUGAAGGGCCGUCGAAGACUACGACGUUGAUAGGUUGGGUGUGUAAGCGCUGUGAGGCGUUGAGCUAACCAAUACUAAUUGCCCGUGAGGCUUGACCAUAUAACACCCAAGCAAUU